rnacentral:lncRNA from 1 species
CAUCUUUCUAAGCCCUUUUUUUUUCCUUAUCUAAAAAAUUAGGGGCUAACCUUGUGCUUCCCCUUUGAAAUAGUUGGAAGGUUAACUGAGUUAUUACAAGUAAAAAGUGCUCAGAGCAAUGUUUUGUAUACAGCAAGUGCUCAAUAAUGUCAGCUCUUUCUGUUAGCGCAGUGCCUGGAAUGUGGUGGGUCCUCAAGGACAUUAAUAAUCUUUACUUUUGAUUAAAAAAUGAUGUAAAUAUUUUUAAAAUGGCUUUUUUUUAUGGAGUUGGGGGUGACUGGUGGGAACAAGAAUAAAAUAGACAUUCUUAUAUCUUCCCCUGUCCCCAAAGAGAAAAUAAAACCAAAAACUUGAAGAUUCUAAGUAGAAAGACAUGAUUUCUGAGUUUUUCAGGAUAACACCAUCAUUUUAAAUCACCUUCCUCUUCUUCUCAUCUCCCACCUGGCGUCCACAGGAAAGGAGUGGAGCCAUCUAGAGGGAUCCACCUGCCUCCUUUUUUCAAAUGUUAAGCAGCCUCUUUGCUACAUUGCAGCUUCGAGCUGAGUGCUAGAAUUGUAAACCAGUUGACAGUGGGAUGCUCUGAGUUGAGCUGGAGAGAUCUGAGCCCACAAGCUUUUUUUUUUUUUUUUUGUCUUUUUUGUCUCUUUUUUGUUGUUGUUGUUGCUAUUUCUUGGGCCGCUCCUGCGGCAUAUGGAGGUUCCCAGGCUAGGGGUCGAAUCGGAGCUGUAGCCACCGGCCUACGCCAGAGCCACAGCAACGCGGGAUCCAAGCCGCGUCUGCAGCCUACACCACAGCUCACGGCAACGCCGGAUCCUUAACCCACUGAGCAAGGGCAGGGACCGAACCCGCAACCUCAUGGUUCCUAGUCGGAUUCGUUAACCACUGCGCCACGACGGGAACUCCCCACAAGCUUUUUGAAACCUAAACCCUGGCUGUGCAUCAUAUUUGCUGGCUCUGGGGUGAUGUGAUUGCAGACCUUGUACAUAGAGAUUGCGUUAAAGGAGCUUUAGGCUUGUGGCCCCAGUACUUCACGCUGAGGAGCAUGGGUAGACACUGCACUGAGUGUUCACAGGGUCCAAGGUCAAUGAGAGAGAAUGAGAGGGAGGGAGGAAGGGGAGGAAGGGAGUUCACAGGGCAGGGAGUGGAAUUCCUGUCCAUCAGGAGGAAGGUGACUUUCCUACUAUACCAAUGCGUUUUGAGGGAGCAUAGCUUGGCUACUUGAAGUCCACUUGGCUGCAAUGACCUGGACCCUGGGGUUAAGCCAAGGAAUACACAUGCGUGUGUACAUGCACACAGGGGAGGGGGCAGCAUCCCCUCCAGGAUGCAUCGUUUUCAACAAGAACAUCGGACGUGAUCAAGAGGGCUGCCUCAUGUUCAGGAAGUGCAGCAAGUGGCCUUCUCUGUUCCUUCAAACUGCACCCGGUUUGAUUUUUCUAUACUCACACAUGGUCAUUUUCAUGAAAACAAACACUAAGAAAAACAUACAUGAGAAAGUAAACAUUACUGCAGAUUCACCCCCCCCAGGAUCACGACUUGGACCCUUCUGGAGACAGUUCUUCUAAACAUCUCUCUCAUUACCCCUCUGUUAUUAGAUACACUUGGGCUGUCCAGUGUGGGAACCAGUUGCCACCAGUAGAUCUUGAGCCGUUGAAAUGUGGCUAGUCAGAAUUGACAUGUGCUGUGUCACAUCCACAGCAGAUUUUUAAAAAAGAGCCUGUAAAAUAGCUAUUAAGUUUAGAUGCUGGCCGCACAUUGACACGAUCAUAUUUUAAAUACAGUGGAUUAAAUAAAAUAUACUAUUGAAAUCAAUUUGCUCCAUUUUACUUAUUCAACGUAUCUACUUGAUAAUCUUUAAAUUAUGUUUGUGGCUCAUGUUGUAUUUCCUCUGGCAGCUGGGUAUAGACUCAUCAUAGUUUUAGGAGGAUCCUGCUACAUUUUCCCAAUUUUUUGAACCAUAAAAAUAUGUUGUCAGUAUCUUCCUCUAGCAAUUGAUAUAUGGCAGCAUUAUGAUUACCUUAUAGCUGUGUGUCAGUAGGUCACAGUUGAUUUAACCAGUCCCGCUUCGUUGAAUGUACAAAGUUGUAGGAAAUGAUGCUGGUGACCAAGCUUGUACAUUCAUCUUUGCAAGCCUAUCUGAUUAUAUCCUUUGGACAGAAUUUCUCAACCAAAGGACGGUAGACGUUUUGGUCUGGAUAAUUCUUUGCUGUGGGAUUCUGUGCUAUGUAUGGUAGGAUAUUUAGUGGCUUUCCUGGCCUCUGCUCACUAGUUGUCAGCAGCACGCUUGUCCCUGUGCCCCCCUCCCCCACGCCCAGGCAGGAUGACCAAAAACAUCUCUGGACGUUGCCAUGUGUCCCCUGGGGGCCAAAAUCACCCCAGUUGAGAAGCACUGACAUUAGGUAGAUUAUCAGAAUAGGAAAUGCUGGGUUGAAAGGCAUACAUAUUUAAAAUUUGUAUAGAUGGAUGAUAGAUAUUGAAAAUUUUAUAUCUAUUCCCACACUGUUUUCUAGAAGAAUGGUAUCAAUUCAUGUAUGUAUCAGGAGUAACGUGAUCCUCAUUAAAUGCCUACAAGAUAUUUAAGAAAGGAGUGCUGGGUAUUUGUUAAUUUAUUUGUUGGCAUGUUUAUGUGUAUGUGUGUGUGUAUUGGUGUUCUAAGGCCACACCGAAGGCAUAUGGAAGUUCCCAAGGUGUAGGGGCCUACACCACAGCCACAGCAACGUGGGGUUCAGCCACCUACACCACAGCUCACUGCAACACCAGAUCCUUAACCCAUUGAGUGAGGCCAGGGAUCGAACCUAGUUGGAUUUGCUACCACUGAGCCAUGACGGGAACUCCGAAUUUUUGUUUAAUCAUCUUUGUUUAGUUGCUUUCCUAAGAUCAGCUAUUAUAAAGACCACGGUGUGGAGGCAGUCUAGGUAUUCUAGGACUUCUGUGCUUAGCGAAAAGCUUGGGGGCGGGGGAGAGAAAGAUGGUAGAAAACCCAAGAGAAAACCUCUCAUUACUUUGCAAUUUAGGACUGUUUCUUACAGUGAGACACAGGACUAAUAGUAAAUGAUGUGAUGACGAUAGCUAAUUAUUGAAUAUUUGCUGUGUGUCAGGCACUGGGCUAAGUGCUCUUACUUAUAAUUUCAUUUAAAUUUCAGAGAAAUCUGUUAGGUAAGUGCUACCAUUUUCGCCAGAUGAAGGAAGAUGGGCAUAGAAAGGCGGCCAGCCAUUCAUCGGGCAGGCCCAGGGUCACGACCCUGGUGGUGUGGCCAGGAUUUUGAAGCUGGCAGUCCAAGUGACCACACUAUCCAUUAAUUCACCCUUCCAGCAAAUAUUUGAGCUUCUCCUAUGCGCCAGCUACAGUGUUCUUGGCCGAGUUUAUAAGAGUGAGCCAAAAAUGACAUGAUUGCGGCCUCGUGCAGCUCGCAGACUGAUGGGGGCUGAUAAAAGCUAGUCUAAUGAGGACUAGGAAGAGGAGGUUCAUGAGACUUUGAGAACCUACAAGGGGGGACCUGCCCUCGUCAGGAAGGUCAGGGAAGGCUUCCAGGGGAAAUAAGGAUUAAAAUAAGAUCUGGAAAAAGAGCGGAGGGUGGUGGUUAUGGGGGAGCCAAAGAAAAGGAACAUCACGUCUCAUUUGCUGGGAUGGACUGGGGUGUGUUGAAGGAACUGGCCCUAUGUAGACAGGGCUAGGGUGAGUAUGAGGCCAAGGAUACAGGUUCUAGGCAGAAUGUCCAUGGAUCUGUGCUUCCAAAAACAGUUCUGUUUGUUGUCUGUUCUUGUAGUGCAGGGUGUGUGAGAUGGGAUAGGCUAGGGUUGGGGAGUGGGGGUGGAUAACGUGGUCGGAUUUGUGUUGGGGAAGGAUCGCUCUGUGAUGGAUGAAGCAUGCCUGGGGGCAGUGGGCAGUAGAUACAGAAAACUAGGAAGGUGGGCAGUCACAAGUAAUGAGCAUUUCUGCCUCAGUGAUUUAUUGAUGCUUCACCAACUAACCCAAAACUUAGUGGUUUAACCAGCAACUGUUGGUACAGGAUUCUUCCAUUUGGGCAGGGCUUAGCAGGGGUGGUUUUUCUCUGCCCUCCAUGGUUUGCUGAGGAAUACAUUCAUCCCUGAGCUUAGGUGUGGCUGGAAUGUCCAAGUUGGCUUCACGUACACACUUGGCACUUGGUGCUGGCCCUGACUUGGCUCUCAGGUUACCCUCCCCAGCAUGGAAAACUUAGGGCGAAACGAGACAUGGCCAGGUUUCUUUAGGUCUAGGUCCAGAACAGGCACAGCCCUCUUUACUCCUUUGCAUUUGUCAGGGUACAUCCUAUGGCCAGUCCAUACUUAAGGGAAGGAGGAAAAGAAUCUACCCUCUUGAUGGGCAAGUGCACACAAGAAUGGAGGGAAUCACUGGUAACCAGCAUUGGAGGCAACCUGCUGAAAGUUGCUAUGUGCCAGACACAAUUGAAGGCAAUGAGAAUAGAACACAGUGAUACAAACUCGUUCCCAUUCAUGUAGCCUUACAGAUGGAGACCAUAAGCAAACAAAUAAGCUAUAGCAGUGUCAGAUGUAAUUUGCUAAUGCAGUGAACUAAAAUAGUGGCGUCACAGAGAGUAACUGCGUCGGUCGAUGUUAGACUGUUGGAUUGUUGGGGAAGUGCCUCUAAGGAGGUAACAUUUAAAUUGAGAUGAUGGGGAGUUCCCAUCAUGGCUCAGCGGUAACAAACCCGACUAGUAUCCAUGAGGAUGCAGAUUCGAUCCCUGGCCUUGCUCAGUGGGUUAAGGAUCCGCAGUGCUGUGAGCUGAGGCAUAGGUCGCAGAUGCAGCUUGGAUCCUGGGUUGCUGUGGCUCUGGUGUAGACUGGCAGCUAUAGCUCCGAUUUGACCCCUAGCCUGGGAACUUUGACAGGCCGCGAGUGAGGCCUUAAAAAGCAAAAUAAAUAAAUCAAUUGAGACGAUGAAAAGGAAUUGCCAGAUAUGGGUUGGGAAACAUGUGUUCCAUGUAAGAGCAAUAGCCAGGUCCACAAGGUUGGAGUGAAACGCGGCAUGCUUAAAGAAGAGAGAUGAGGCCAGUGUGCAGGGUGGUGUGCAAAGAGGAGAUGGAGGAAGCUGUGGAGGACAGGUAAAUGGGGAAGGAGGCUCUGACAGGAGAUCAAGCUAGAGAAGACUGAGAGGUGGACCUUGAUGUUGAUGGUACACAAGCAAGGGAAGAUAGGCUUUAAGAGAUGUUUAGGAGUGAAAAUUAGGCUGCCAUCAUUGAUGGAUUGAGUAAAUGCUGCCAGAGGGAGGGAGUAUUUCAAGAUGACACCUCAUUUUUUUUCAUGUGACCAUCUCUGGAUGGAGGUACCACUGUGAGAGUUAGCAGAAUCUUGGGAGAGCCCUAGAGUGGAGUAGGAAGAUAAUGAGAUUAGGUUGGAAACAUCUUGCGUUUUUCAGGUUGGAACUGCUUUGACUUGUGCUCUGUGCUGAGUCUUUGUGUCCAGCCCAAAUUCAUAUGUUAAAUCCUUACACCCAGUGUCAUGAUGUCUGGAGGUGUGGCCUUUGGGAGGUGAUUGGGUCAUGAGAAUGGAACCUUUUUGCAUGGGAUUAGUACCCUUUAAAAGAAGGGCCAGACAUGUGAGAAGACAUCAUCUGUGAAUCAGAAAGUAGAUCCACUGAUUCUGCAGGCCCACCUUGAUGUUGAACUUCCCAGCCCCUAAAACUGGGAGAAAUAAAUUUCUGUUGUUUAUAAGCCACCAAGUCAAUGUUGUUCUGUUAUAGCAGUCCCAGUGGACUAAGACAGUGUAUUUUAUCUCUCUUGUAACUAGAGAGCCCAGAAAUUCUUAUAACAGCAAAACUGAGCCCAUAGACUGCCUUUGGAAUCUUAUUGUUAAAAGAUUUAGUCUUACCAUAUACUCUGGUAUUUUGUUCAGAAAAUACCACUGCUGGAGACCAU